rnacentral:rRNA from 1 species
UACGAAGGGGGCUAGCGUUGUUCGGAAUGACUGGGCGUAAAGGGCGCGUAGGCGGUUUAAUAAGUUUGGUGUGAAAGUCCUGGGCUCAACCUGGGGAUUGCACUGGAGACUAUUAGACUAGAGAUCGAGAGAGGAGAAUGGAAUUGCGAGUGUAGAGGUGAAAUUCGUAGAUAUUCGCAAGAACACCAGUGGCGAAGGCGGUUUUCUGGCUCGAGACUGACGCUAAGGCGCGAAAGCGUGGGGAGCAAACAGG